AGCCGGCAGUCAGCCCCGGCUCUGAGAAACAAGUGGAGGUGUCAGCCAUAAACCCUCCGUUCAGGGAAAAGAGUCGCUGCGACGGAUCGACUGGCCGUUGGGUGGAACUUUCUUUGGUGGCCUAGUGACUAGAAAAUAAAAACGAAAACGAAAUAAAAAACUGCUACUGACAUUACUCCCACGCUCCCUCCUCAAGUCAGUGGCUUCAGGCUUAAGAAAACCUGUGUUUUUCUUGGCUGAAUCGUGAUCCCUAAUUACUGAGGGCCCCGCGACCCACCAAGUGCGAUUCGCAGAGGGAAAGGAGCUGGAAUAAGGAUGCAGAAUGGGACGGUUUUGGCUCCUCCAGGAAGAAAGCAAAACAAAUGCAGGUCGCGAACACUUUACAUUGCAGGAAGCUGCUCUUCCAGUGGCCGCGGCUAGGUCCUUCCACACCACCUCUCUGUCCUAGGCCUUCGUCCCGGUUCAGCCCUCACGGAUUCUAGGCUAGCGGUCAACAACAGCAUCCCUCCGGAACCUGGAAACUCUAGGUCCGAGAUCUCGGUGAAGAAUGAAAGGCACAGCGCCGCUCAACCCAGGCUUCAGGCCUGCCCCGCUGGUCCCGUCCCUUCCCUGUGGGAUGGAACUCUGUGGGAAUCGCUCCUUAUUCUGAUGGUUCACUCAUUCAGAUGUCCUUGAUAUUUGGGGAUAGUUCUAAAACAGCAGGGGAGAAAAAUGGACUGCGAGGCUCCGGUGUUGGACGUGAAAUUGGCAGUGAGACAUCCGCCUCUAAGCCCAGGGAAAAGCUUAAAUUGUGGUUCUCUGUCUCUAGCACCGUGAUCUUUGAAAUGCGUUAUUGAUUUUCUUCUUUCUUCUGGGAAAUGCAAUGCAGGUGAACUUGUAAGUGUUGAAUCCUCCCUCUCCUCACUUUUCAAUCAGACCGAGGCCUACUUCCUUUCUGAUAAGAAAUACGGAACUGCCAUUGCUCAGUAGGAAAAUGUCCUUUCUACAAGCAUUCAUAUUUCAAUAAAAAUCUGCACUUUGUGAGUUGAGCCCCGUCAAAGAGACCUACAGACCCUGCCAUGAGCAUCUCCAUCCACACUCAUCAUUUCCCAUUUUCACCACUUCUGCUCCUGUGCAAACCAGUACUAUCCUUUUCUGGGGGAUCCUAGGCAGAAGCGAUGGCAGGACAAAGGCAGAGAAGGCACUGCCAGGUCCUGCAUGCCAGUAAAACUACUCAUGUCAGCUGUUCUGCAGGAUCCCAUGAGAAGGUGAGUCACCAGAAAAUGCAGUUUCCACAUCCUGAUGAUUUCAUCUCCCUACCCCAACUGAUCAAUUUCUCCAAUUUUCCAGCCUCUCACCCUCCACAAUCCCCUUAAAAACUGUAGCCCAGAACUCUCUGGAAUGAUGAAUUUGAAGGUUUGCUCCUGUCUCCUCACUCAGUAGCCUGUAAUCAUUAAACUCUUU
rnacentral:lncRNA from 1 species